CACCAGCCAACCCUCACAUCUGCCUCUGAGAAGGUGUUGUACGCGCAGCAUCUCUGUAGAUAGGCUAAAACAGGUUGAGGGUAACCGAUGGGUCCCAAACCCAUUGGUGAGUGAAUUUAUCCCUUAGUGGAAGGGCUGAAAGAGAACAAUGAAGGUGGUGGAAGCAGAUGCUGUGGUGUGCCCAGAGCUUGGUCAGACAGGGAAGAAGCCAAAGUCAUUCACAGCAUCCUGGACUCUAUCCAGCCAUCCUGACUUUUGCCACUGGAGAGUUCUGGGGAUUCAAAGGCAGAACAAGAUAAAUGUCUUUGCCUGGAAAAAGAUCGUAUUAUAAAGAAGAUGGACCGGCCAGACAUCUGUAGCACUUUGACCACCAUAUUGUGAGAAGGACAUUAUAAGAAGUCCAGAGGAGGCAAACCAAGAUGGUGAAGGUCCAUGAAUUCAUACUAUAUCGGGACUGGGUAAAAAAAAAUGGAGGUUCCUAGUCUGGAGAAGAGAAAGCUCUGAUAUGUAUGUAUAUAUAUAUAUAUACAUAUAUAUAUAUAUCCUUAAAAAGAUAAUAUGAAAUUUUUCUUCAUGUACUUGAGGGGCUAACCCUAGGAAGAGAUAGUCUUUGCAUUUAUCCUGAGGGCACCAGAAGCAAAUAGAGGGACCUGCAAAUUUAGAUUUCAAGUCAAGGAAAACCCCAUAACAAUGAG
rnacentral:lncRNA from 1 species